GACGAACGCUGGCGGCGUGCUUAACACAUGCAAGUCGAACGGCAAGGCCCUGCUUUUGUGGGGUGCUCGAGUGGCGAACGGGUGAGUAACACGAGAGUAACCUGCCCUUGACUUUGGGAUAACUUCAGGAAACUGGGGCUAAUACCGGAUAGGAGCUCCUGCUGCAUGGUGGGGGUUGGAAAGUUUCGGCGGGUGGGGAUGGACUCGCGGCUUAUCAGCUGGUUGGUGGGGUAGUGGCUUACCAAGGCUUUGGCGGAUAGCCGGCAUGGGAGGGGGGACGGCGUCAAGGGUACUGAGAGAGGCACCAGACGGGAAUGGGAGGCAGUGGGGGGAAACAUGACACAGUGGUCGGGAGUGGGUGAAGGAAGCCCUGGGUGUGGAAAGACGGCUUGCUGGGUGAAAACCGCUGUAGGCUGAUACGAAGCGGUAGUGACGGUAAUGAAUAAAGAAGCACCGGCUAACUACGUG
rnacentral:rRNA from 1 species